CGCGUAGGCGGCCUAUUAAGUCGGUUGUGAAAUCUCUCGGCUUAACUGAGAGGGGUCAACCGAAACUGGUGGGCUUGAGGACAGCAGAGGGAAGUGGAAUUCCCGGUGUAGUGGUGAAAUGCGUAGAUAUCGGGAGGAACACCAGUGGCGAAGGCGGCUUCCUGGGCUGUUCCUGACGCUGAGGCGCGAAAGCGUGGGUAGCAAACAGGAUUAGAUACCCUGGUAGUCCACGCCGUAAACUAUGGACACUAGGUAUGGGGGGUAUCGACCCCUUCCGUGCCGAAGUUAACGCUAUAAGUGUCCCGCCUGGGGAGUACGGCCGCAAGGCUAAA
rnacentral:rRNA from 1 species